rnacentral:rRNA from 1 species
UACGAAGGGUGCAAGCGUUACUCGGAAUUACUGGGCGUAAAGCGUGCGUAGGUGGUUCGUUAAGUCCGAUGUGAAAGCCCUGGGCUCAACCUGGGAAUGGCAUGGGAUACUGGCGGGCUAGAGUGCGGUAGAGGGUGGCGGAAUUCCCGGUGUAGCAGUGAAAUGCGUAGAUAUCGGGAGGAACACCAGUGGCGAAGGCUGUUGCCUGGAGCUUUGCUGACGCUGAGGCGCGAAAGCGUGGGGAGCGAUCCGG